GAUGGGCCCGCGUCGGAUUAGCUAGUUGGUGAGGUAAUGGCUCACCAAGGCGACGAUCCGUAGCUGGUCUGAGAGGAUGAUCAGCCACACUGGGACUGAGACACGGCCCAGACUCCUACGGGAGGCAGCAGUGGGGAAUAUUGGACAAUGGGCGCAAGCCUGAUCCAGCCAUGCCGCGUGAGUGACGAAGGCCUUAGGGUUGUAAAGCUCUUUUGGCGGGGACGAUAAUGACGGUACCCGCAGAAUAAGCCCCGGCUAACUUCGUGCCAGCAGCCGCGGUAAUACGAAGGGGGCUAGCGUUGUUCGGAAUCACUGGGCGUAAAGCGCACGUAGGCGGAUUUGUUAGUCAGGGGUGAAAUCCCGGGGCUCAACCUCGGAACUGCCUUUGAUACUGCAAGUCUCGAGUCCGGAAGAGGUGAGUGGAAUUCCUAGUGUAGAGGUGAAAUUCGUAGAUAUUAGGAAGAACACCAGUGGCG
rnacentral:rRNA from 1 species